rnacentral:rRNA from 1 species
UACGUAGGGUGCAAGCGUUAAUCUGCAUUACUGGGCGUAAAGCGUGCGCAGGCGGCUUUGCAAGACAGAUGUGAAAUCCCCGGGCUUAACCUGGGAACUGCAUUUGUGACUGCAUGGCUGGAGUGCGGCAGAGGGGGAUGGAAUUCCGCGUGUAGCAGUGAAAUGCGUAGAUAUGCGGAGGAGCACCGAUGGCGAAGGCAAUCCCCUGGGCCUGCACUGACGCUCAUGCACGAAAGCGUGGGGAGCAAACAGG